CAAGCUGCGGUGCGAAUGAAUGAACAGCAACAGAAACAAGGGCUUAACAGGCCUUUCAUGAAUAGGUUGUUCUGAAGCACACGUUCACCCACAUAACAAUCUUCAUCAACUCUUUGCAGCCCCGAUAUUAGGCGUUCUGUUGUAGAGGUUCAUCCAGGCUUACAUGGAAAUAUAGAACUGAAAAAUCUAAGAAUAAGAUUCGAACUGUCUUUACCUUCUUUCACAUACAGGGCCCGGGAAAGACAUUUGCUUAUUCCUGAUGUAUGGGGUCUCUGGCGCCGCACUUUUUAUGAUUAUGGUAUCCGUCACCACAGUCUUAGUUUUACUCAAGGGACACCGGAUUAAAGAAAUUCAGGAAAAGAACCGCAGAAGGCUGAACACUGGUAACAAUUUCUAA
rnacentral:lncRNA from 1 species